GAGCCAUUGCAUAUUUGAAUGGGACGCCGGUGUGAGAAGCACGGCGCCCGAUCCUAUAGAUGCUGCGGUGCUUCGAGCUCUCCGCGAGUUGAAGCAGGGCUGAUCGCUUGGGCAAAGGACUGCAGGAAGAAGUAAAGGCUGCAGGAUCUGCCCCUAAGAUUUAUUAAAAGAAGAAGUCACCUCUCUCUCCCCGACUGCGAAAACAGCCUUUCCCACAGCGGAGGGACAUUCAAGGUAGACAGAGAGACCUUCACUUCUUCUGCAUUGAUGCAAAUGCACCGAUGUUUUCUGUGACUACGGGUACUGUUUCAUCCUGAUGUGCUGAGAGAUGCAUGCUUUCACCGCCGCAUCUGACAAAAGAACCGCAGUAAGAAAGCAAUGAAGAACUUCCUACGUGAAGUAAACUGUUCAUUGCGAGUUUGAGAGGAUGUUUCCGUGAAUCCGGCUGAAUUAAUGUGUUUUCUUGGGGAGCUGCACCUAGACUGAGGACAGCCAGGAGAGCUGGAUCUUGUACAGAGGAGGCACAGCAAACUGGUGUGAUGCUGGGGAGGGGAGCCCUGUGGAAACUCUGAUGUGAGCAAAAGAGUAUGUUGCAACGAUGCCUGAUUAGUUCAUCAGGAGCCAGUGUGAGUCUGGAACAUCUAGCACCGAGUAGGAGCCUGGAUGCGGUCCAGCUGCUUUCUUGCCCUAUAGAACUGAAGCGAUAAGUCUUGCUCAACCAGAUCCGUGCCUGUUUGGGUGUGUCUACACUGUGUUCCUGUUAUCAGGAGUGCUGAGGAACCCAGCACAGCCAGCGUCCUCGCGGAGGCCUGACUCUGCGUCAGUGGGGUUGGUGCUGAACUGGCGGUACUGAUUCAGCCUGGAUACUGCAGCACUGUUCGAGGCCUGCGUGCUGUGCUCCCUGGUGCACAGAGAUGAGCUCAGCUACAGCCCUGGAUCCAGGCUGGAUUUGUACCGUGCCCAACUGAGGGCUCGGAUUGAGUUCAGUCUGGGGUUAAUAGCACCAACUCCAUCCCAGAGCCUCUCAAAUCCAUCUGGACUUUGCUGCCUAGCUCUCCUGGGAGCACGGCAUAGGGGUAGCUGGGCAAGCUCUGUGAAAUGCAUUCAUAUUCCAGGCUGCAUGCAAGUACUUGUAUGGCUGUGAAUCUGCAGUGGCCUGGGAUGCAGCCUGAGCUAAUGAACUCAAUCAGACCUGAAUUGGCUCUGCAUGGAGCUCACCCUGGUGCCUCUGUUGCUUCAGCAUUCUUGCUCUGCAACUCAUCACCUGUGCUGUAUCUGCAGAUUGACUUUAUCUGGUGUUGUAUGUGUAGAUGCAUAAGCUAAAAUGUGGUUGGGCAGAAAAUAUCCCUAAAAGCAUGAAGAGGAAAAUUUAGAGAGAGAUAUUGAGUAACACAAGGGGAUUGCGUUUAAGACUAGGUCCGUACCCUGACACUUUGUUGUUAAUUUUUCUUAGGGGCAAGGGAGCAGAUCCAUGGGAGCAUGGGAUUUACUAUAGGAAAAACUGACUGUAGUACUAAACUUUAACUAUGCUUGUGUGUUCCCUCUUUUAGGGUUUGUAAUAGUCAGAUAUUUGUGUUCUUUUCCAUUGCAUGCUACAGUUCUGAUCUAGCAAAACGUUCAAAUUAUGUUCUUUAGAGCUUUACUGGAUCAGGGCCAUUGUCAGUACUUCCAAAAAGUAAAGCCUAAAACAUUCUCCGAAAUCUUUGGCUAGAGAUUGUCUAGCAUUAUUCCUUACCCAUAAAGAUCUUCUCUGGACCCUCCCAUAGGAACUGAAAUAGCAAAUGUCAUGUAUGCAGCCUUGGCAGUCAGUUUUGAACUUGGAGGACUUCUUUUGGUGAAGUAGUGUGGGCCAACAUGCUUAUGAGAUAUGUUCAAAGCUUUUUAUGCUUUUUUCAUCCACUUGAAAUACAAACAAACAAUUCCCAUUUUCCAAAACAGGACUAGCUGUAUAUUGUGAUGAUGGCAGCAAGUUGAUAAAGAAAUAUGGGAAACAUAUUCUUCAGUUGCCUGUACAGCA